rnacentral:misc_RNA from 1 species
GUGAAUCAUCGAAUCUUUGAACGCACAUUGCACCCUCUGGUAUUCCGGGGGGUAUGCCUGUUCGAGCGUCAUUUCAACCCUCAAGCCUAGCUUGGUAUUGGAUGUCACCUGGCAAUGGUGUAUCUUAAAAUCAGUGGCGGUGCCAUCUGGCUUCAAGUGUAGUAAAACUCUCGCUUUGGAGGAUUGGAUGUGUGCUUGCCAUCAACCCUUCAUCUAUCAAAGGUUGACCUCGGAUCAGGUAGGGAUACCCGCUGAACUUAAGCAUAUCAAUAAGCGGAGGA